rnacentral:rRNA from 1 species
GGGUUGUGAGGUUAAGCGACUAAGCGUACACGGUGGAUGCCCUGGCAGUCAGAGGCGAUGAAGGGCGUGCUAAUCUGCGAUAAGCGCCGGUAAGGUGAUAUGAACCGUUAUAACCGGCGAUACCCGAAUGGGGAAACCCAGUGUGACUCGUCACACUAUCAUUAACUGAAUCCAUAGGUUAAUGAGGCGAACCGGGGGAACUGAAACAUCUAAGUACCCCGAGGAAAAGAAAUCAACCGAGAUUCCCCCAGUAGCGGCGAGCGAACGGGGAGGAGCCCAGAGCCUGAAUCAGCAUGUGUGUUAGUGGAAGCGUCUGGAAAGGCGCGCGAUACAGGGUGACAGCCCCGUACACAAAAGCGCAUGUGCUGUGAGCUCGAUGAGUAGGGCGGGACACGUGGUAUCCUGUCUGAAUAUGGGGGGACCAUCCUCCAAGGCUAAAUACUCCUGACUGACCGAUAGUGAACCAGUACCGUGAGGGAAAGGCGAAAAGAACCCCGGCGAGGGGAGUGAAAAAGAACCUGAAACCGUGUACGUACAAGCAGUGGGAGCACCCUUUGGGGUGUGACUGCGUACCUUUUGUAUAAUGGGUCAGCGACUUAUAUUCUGUAGCAAGGUUAACCGUAUAGGGGAGCCGUAGGGAAACCGAGUCUUAACCGGGCGUUAAGUUGCAGGGUAUAGACCCGAAACCCGGUGAUCUAGCCAUGGGCAGGUUGAAGGUUGGGUAACACUAACUGGAGGACCGAACCGACUAAUGUUGAAAAAUUAGCGGAUGACCUGUGGCUGGGGGUGAAAGGCCAAUCAAACCGGGAGAUAGCUGGUUCUCCCCGAAAGCUAUUUAGGUAGCGCCUCGUGAAUUCAUCUCCGGGGGUAGAGCACUGUUUCGGCUAGGGGGCCAUCCCGGCUUACCAACCCGAUGCAAACUGCGAAUACCGGAGAAUGUUAUCACGGGAGACACACGGCGGGUGCUAACGUCCGUCGUGAAGAGGGAAACAACCCAGACCGCCAGCUAAGGUCCCAAAGUCAUGGUUAAGUGGGAAACGAUGUGGGAAGGCCCAGACAGCCAGGAUGUUGGCUUAGAAGCAGCCAUCAUUUAAAGAAAGCGUAAUAGCUCACUGGUCGAGUCGGCCUGCGCGGAAGAUGUAACGGGGCUAAACCAUGCACCGAAGCUGCGGCAGCGACGCUUAUGCGUUGUUGGGUAGGGGAGCGUUCUGUAAGCCUGUGAAGGUGGCCUGUGAGGGUUGCUGGAGGUAUCAGAAGUGCGAAUGCUGACAUAAGUAACGAUAAAGCGGGUGAAAAGCCCGCUCGCCGGAAGACCAAGGGUUCCUGUCCAACGUUAAUCGGGGCAGGGUGAGUCGACCCCUAAGGCGAGGCCGAAAGGCGUAGUCGAUGGGAAACGGGUUAAUAUUCCCGUACUUGGUGUUACUGCGAAGGGGGGACGGAGAAGGCUAUGUUGGCCGGGCGACGGUUGUCCCGGUUUAAGCGUGUAGGCUGGUUUUCCAGGCAAAUCCGGAAAAUCAAGGCUGAGGCGUGACGACGAGGCACUACGGUGCUGAAGCAACAAAUGCCCUGCUUCCAGGAAAAGCCUCUAAGCAUCAGGUAACAUCAAAUCGUACCCCAAACCGACACAGGUGGUCAGGUAGAGAAUACCAAGGCGCUUGAGAGAACUCGGGUGAAGGAACUAGGCAAAAUGGUGCCGUAACUUCGGGAGAAGGCACGCUGACACGUAGGUGAAGUGAUUUACUCAUGGAGCUGAAGUCAGUCGAAGAUACCAGCUGGCUGCAACUGUUUAUUAAAAACACAGCACUGUGCAAACACGAAAGUGGACGUAUACGGUGUGACGCCUGCCCGGUGCCGGAAGGUUAAUUGAUGGGGUCAGCGCAAGCGAAGCUCCUGAUCGAAGCCCCGGUAAACGGCGGCCGUAACUAUAACGGUCCUAAGGUAGCGAAAUUCCUUGUCGGGUAAGUUCCGACCUGCACGAAUGGCGUAAUGAUGGCCAGGCUGUCUCCACCCGAGACUCAGUGAAAUUGAACUCGCUGUGAAGAUGCAGUGUACCCGCGGCAAGACGGAAAGACCCCGUGAACCUUUACUAUAGCUUGACACUGAACAUUGAGCCUUGAUGUGUAGGAUAGGUGGGAGGCUUUGAAGUGUGGACGCCAGUCUGCAUGGAGCCGACCUUGAAAUACCACCCUUUAAUGUUUGAUGUUCUAACGUGGACCCGUUACCCGGGUUGCGGACAGUGUCUGGUGGGUAGUUUGACUGGGGCGGUCUCCUCCUAAAGAGUAACGGAGGAGCACGAAGGUUGGCUAAUCCUGGUCGGACAUCAGGAGGUUAGUGCAAUGGCAUAAGCCAGCUUGACUGCGAGCGUGACGGCGCGAGCAGGUGCGAAAGCAGGUCAUAGUGAUCCGGUGGUUCUGAAUGGAAGGGCCAUCGCUCAACGGAUAAAAGGUACUCCGGGGAUAACAGGCUGAUACCGCCCAAGAGUUCAUAUCGACGGCGGUGUUUGGCACCUCGAUGUCGGCUCAUCACAUCCUGGGGCUGAAGUAGGUCCCAAGGGUAUGGCUGUUCGCCAUUUAAAGUGGUACGCGAGCUGGGUUUAGAACGUCGUGAGACAGUUCGGUCCCUAUCUGCCGUGGGCGCUGGAGAACUGAGGGGGGCUGCUCCUAGUACGAGAGGACCGGAGUGGACGCAUCACUGGUGUUCGGGUUGUCAUGCCAAUGGCACUGCCCGGUAGCUAAAUGCGGAAGAGAUAAGUGCUGAAAGCAUCUAAGCACGAAACUUGCCCCGAGAUGAGUUCUCCCUGAGACUUUAGGUCUCCUGAAGGAACGUUGAAGACGACGACGUUGAUAGGCCGGGUGUGUAAGCGCAGCGAUGCGUUGAGCUAACCGGUACUAAUGAACCGUGAGGCUUAACCUUACAACGCCGAAGCUGUU